rnacentral:rRNA from 1 species
CUUUCCCUCUGGCUUCAUGCCUUACACAUGCAAGUCGAACGGUAACAGGUCUUCGGAUGCUGACGAGUGGCGAACGGGUGAGUAAUACAUCGGAACGUGCCCAGACGUGGGGGAUAACGAGGCGAAAGCUUUGCUAAUACCGCAUACGAUCUAAGGAUGAAAGCAGGGGACCGCAAGGCCUUGUGCGUUUGGAGCGGCCGAUGGCAGAUUAGGUAGUUGGUGGGAUAAAAGCUUACCAAGCCGACGAUCUGUAGCUGGUCUGAGAGGACGACCAGCCACACUGGGACUGAGACACGGCCCAGACUCCUACGGGAGGCAGCAGUGGGGAAUUUUGGACAAUGGGCGAAAGCCUGAUCCAGCAAUGCCGCGUGCAGGAUGAAGGCCUUCGGGUUGUAAACUGCUUUUGUACGGAACGAAAAGGCUCUGGCUAAUACCUGGGGCACAUGACGGUACCGUAAGAAUAAGCACCGGCUAACUACGUG